AAACUUUCAACAACGGAUCUCUUGGUUCUGGCAUCGAUGAAGAACGCAGCGAAAUGCGAUAAGUAAUGUGAAUUGCAGAAUUCAGUGAAUCAUCGAAUCUUUGAACGCACAUUGCG
rnacentral:rRNA from 1 species